rnacentral:lncRNA from 1 species
GAGGCGAGCGGGCGGGGACGAGCGGCUCCGUCGGUGGCCGCGUGCGCGGAGCGGGUGCAGUUUCUCCCCGCGGGGACGAGCCCUGUCGGUUGGAAGCCCUUAGCCCAGCGGAGGGGCCGCUGUGCCGCCGGCGGAGUCCCAGGUCCUCAGCAUCUCCGGCCCGCGGGGGAUCGGAACCGUCUCCGGGGCUCAGAGACCGCCCCGCUCUCUCCUCGCGGCCUCCCGGCUUCUCGGGGCGCACCCAGCUCCCGGGUUCCAGGGGCGGCCAGGGGCCCGGACUUCCUGCGGGGACGGGACCCCCUGUGGGUGCGCGGAGCACAGAACACUGUCCGCCUGGGCUGGUCAUCAGCCGUCAGAGUCAGACUCUCAGGGCUGGACUCCAGCUCCAGGGCUGGGGCUGGAAAGGCGGCUUCUGUCCCUCUGGGAGCCUCAGCAGGCCCGAAGAUUCUUUUAUUUGUCAGAAGCAGCACUCACCUGUGCCUCUCCCUGAUCAGGCCCAAACAAAUCAGCUGCCCUCACCUGAAAGGGUGUUAGUCUCUCAAUCAUGUCCCUGUGACCCCAUGGACUGUAGCACACCAGGCUCCUUUGUCCAUGGGAUUUUCCAGGUAAGAAUACUGGAGUGGGUUGUCAUUUCCUUCUCCAGGGGAUCUUCUCGACUCAGAGAUGGAACCCAGGUCUCCUACAUUACAGGUGUAUUCUUUACCAUCUGAGCCACCAGGGACAUGCAUAAGAAACUGUUACCUCUCAAAACUGGGGUCAGAAGGUUGGGUGUGUGGUUCAGGCUCUACAAGGCAUUUCACAUUCUCCUAGUAUCUCCUCUUGUCUCCCUAUGAAGCUCUUACAUCUCAGGACACCUCUAACCAAUACCCUCUUUUGAUGGGAGCUAGUGCUCAGCGGUUAAUAUUUUCAGCCCAGAGAGACACAGCCUGUGCUUUAGACCAUGGCAAACCCUCCCAGCUAGCCCCAGUCCAUCCAAAUCUCUCCUGUUCCUCAGAUCCCAUGGCCAAGACAGUCCCUGAGUCUGUUCAGUGGACAAGCUCCCACAGUGUCCAGUGCUGAGGCUCCUCCCACCCCCGUGCCCCCUCGGCCCUGCACAAUGAGCCCGCACUCCUGGGAAUACAGGGUCCCCUGUGCGCUUCUUCCGGGGCUGCUG